UGGCUGGUGUUCUAACGUAGACCCGUGAUCCGGGUUGCGGACAGUGUCUGGUGGGUAGUUUGACUGGGGCGGUCUCCUCCCAAAGAGUAACGGAGGAGCACGAAGGUUGGCUAAUCCUGGUCGGACAUCAGGAGGUUAGUGCAAUGGCAUAAGCCAGCUUGACUGCGAGCGUGACGGCGCGAGCAGGUGCGAAAGCAGGUCAUAGUGAUCCGGUGGUUCUGAAUGGAAGGGCCAUCGCUCAACGGAUAAAAGGUACUCCGGGGAUAACAGGCUGAUACCGCCCAAGAGUUCAUAUCGACGGCGGUGUUUGGCACCUCGAUGUCGGCUCAUCACAUCCUGGGGCUGAAGUAGGUCCCAAGGGUAUGGCUGUUCGCCAUUUAAAGUGGUACGCGAGCUGGGUUUAGAACGUCGUG
rnacentral:rRNA from 1 species